ACCAUGUUGAAUUGUGCUAUAAUUUAUUUCAAAACCGGAUUACCCGGGAACAGCUAACUAUACACGGGAAUGCAUUAGGCCCUACACCUUUGUGUUAGAUAAGGUCUGCUAUGGUGUGCAGAGAGU